GGGUUGUGAGGUUAAGCGACUAAGCGUACACGGUGGAUGCCCUGGCAGUCAGAGGCGAUGAAGGACGUGCUAAUCUGCGAAAAGCGUCGGUAAGGUGAUAUGAACCGUUAUAACCGGCGAUGUCCGAAUGGGGAAACCCAGUGUGAUUCGUCACACUAUCGUUAACUGAAUACAUAGGUUAACGAGGCGAACCGGGGGAACUGAAACAUCUAAGUACCCCGAGGAAAAGAAAUCAACCGAGAUUCCCCCAGUAGCGGCGAGCGAACGGGGAGCAGCCCAGAGUCUGAAUCAGCUUGUGUGUUAGUGGAACGGUCUGGAAAGUCCGACGGUACAGGGUGAUAGUCCCGUACACCAAAAUGCACAGGCUGUGAACUCGAAGAGUAGGGCGGGACACGUGGUAUCCUGUCUGAAUAUGGGGGGACCAUCCUCCAAGGCUAAAUACUCCUGACUGACCGAUAGUGAACCAGUACCGUGAGGGAAAGGCGAAAAGAACCCCGGCGAGGGGAGUGAAAAAGAACCUGAAACCGUGUACGUACAAGCAGUGGGAGCACCUUCGGGUGUGACUGCGUACCUUUUGUAUAAUGGGUCAGCGACUUAUAUUCUGUAGCAAGGUUAACCGUAUAGGGGAGCCGCAGGGAAACCGAGUCUUAACUGGGCGUUAAGUUGCAGGGUAUAGACCCGAAACCCGGUGAUCUAGCCAUGGGCAGGUUGAAGGUUGGGUAACACUAACUGGAGGACCGAACCGACUAAUGUUGAAAAAUUAGCGGAUGACUUGUGGCUGGGGGUGAAAGGCCAAUCAAACCGGGAGAUAGCUGGUUCUCCCCGAAAGCUAUUUAGGUAGCGCCUCGUGAACUCAUCUUCGGGGGUAGAGCACUGUUUCGGCUAGGGGGUCAUCCCGACUUACCAACCCGAUGCAAACUACGAAUACCGAAGAAUGUUAUCACGGGAGACACACGGCGGGUGCUAACGUCCGUCGUGAAGAGGGAAACAACCCAGACCGCCAGCUAAGGUCCCAAAGUCAUGGUUAAGUGGGAAACGAUGUGGGAAGGCACAGACAGCCAGGAUGUUGGCUUAGAAGCAGCCAUCAUUUAAAGAAAGCGUAAUAGCUCACUGGUCGAGUCGGCCUGCGCGGAAGAUGUAACGGGGCUAAACCAUGCACCGAAGCUGCGGCAGCGACACUAUGUGUUGUUGGGUAGGGGAGCGUUCUGUAAGCCUGCGAAGGUGACCUGUGAGGGUUGCUGGAGGUAUCAGAAGUGCGAAUGCUGACAUAAGUAACGAUAAAGCGGGUGAAAAGCCCGCUCGCCGGAAGACCAAGGGUUCCUGUCCAACGUUAAUCGGGGCAGGGUGAGUCGACCCCUAAGGCGAGGCCGAAAGGCGUAGUCGAUGGGAAACAGGUUAAUAUUCCUGUACUUGGUGUUACUGCGAAGGGGGGACGGAGAAGGCUAUGUUAGCCGGGCGACGGUUGUCCCGGUUUAAGCAUGUAGGCUGGUUGUCCAGGCAAAUCCGGAUAAUCAAGGCUGAGGUGUGAUGACGAGGCACUACGGUGCUGAAGUAACAAAUGCCCUGCUUCCAGGAAAAGCCUCUAAGCAUCAGGUAACAUCAAAUCGUACCCCAAACCGACACAGGUGGUCAGGUAGAGAAUACCAAGGCGCUUGAGAGAACUCGGGUGAAGGAACUAGGCAAAA
rnacentral:rRNA from 1 species